ACCUCAAAAUUAUCAGUCAACAGUGGGGUACAUACAUGCAUUGUGCUGUUUGGAAUUAGGAAUGAAACAAACUCAAUUUACUGGAUCAGAUACAAUGAUCUCAGAUUAUCAACUAAUGGUAUGCAUGCCUUAUAUAGGGCGUAUUAUAGAUCUAUAUACUGUUUGGAAUGAGGGAUAAAACAAACUCUAUUUUAAUACUGACAAUGAAUGAAAGCACCGCAGGUGCUGAGGUCUCGGUGGAUGUGCCAAACCUACAUAACAUAAAGCUACUAGCAGUUAAUAUGUAGCCUUGACACAUCCACCGAGGCAUCAGCACCCGCAUGCAUGUGUAUACUCCCCGGCAGUUGAAGGACAGCCUAAUACACCAGCUGGUCCUGUUUAUGAAGAGUUUCAAAGAGGAAUUCUCAACACUAACACCAAUUAAGCUUAUAUGCGGACAAGUAAAUAAAUAUUUUUUAUCAUUUAGUUUAUGCAUUGCUAUAAUGAGAACAUGCAUAAUUAUUGCAAUAUUGGUAAAAACAACUAUGUUUGUUUUUAUAACCCUUCUCUGUUACAAUUGAUGACGACAUCAUUAUCACAUGCAAGUAUGCUGGAUGACUUGAAUGAUGGUAUAUUAGUCACUUAACUGUAACAUUAAAGUACAUGCAGUCACAUGACAGGAUAUUUGGUUGUAGAUCACAUGAUCAGUAAUUAUCAACUGUCCUCACUUCUGGAAGAUCAUGACAGAGACAGUUUAUUUUAUUUUAUAAUAAUUCAGCAUAUAGCAUAGGAUAUACACAAUUAGCUAGUAGCUAGAUGUAUAAAGUUCAUCCUAAAGAAAAUAUUUAAACACAUUGACAGUAACAAUAUCGUCUAUAUUGUACUUACUAACAAGUUUAUUCCAUAAAGUUACAGCGUGUGGGAAGAAUGAGUAUUGGUACAUUGAAGUUCGAAAUCUAAUUGGUACCAGGGAGAGCCCAUUAACUGAACAGCUAUUGUAGAUAAUCUCUCUUCUUUCAACCGGUGGGUUGGGAAAGUCUAUCAUGUCAUGUAAAAUUUUGUACAAGUGGCACAUUCUUGCAACUACUCUUCUUGUCUCCAGACUUGUAAGGCCAGAUGCUGACAGCAGUUCUCCCUGCCACUGACCCAGACACACUCUCAUGGCAAAUCUCUGUACUUUUUCCAGGUUUUCUAUAUGGAAAUGUAUUACUAGUUACACUAUAGACAUUAAAGGCUAUAGUCUAGGUCGACUCUGUAUGUUACAAUUCAGUAACUAAUACCAUUCAAUAGUGAAGGCUACAAAACGUCACAAUUAUAGCAAUUAAUGGUUGCAUGCAGGUAUGAUACCGUUUGUGCUGGGUGGUUUGACACGUGACUACACUGGGACUUCCUGUGUUGGAGAUGUGGUCUCACCCACUUGCACACUGUCUGUGUCUGUGAUUGAUGGUGCUCUGUUGGAAUGGGAUGUGCCUGAUGCAACUAGGGAGAUAAGACUUAGUAGUACGACCCUACUACCAAUCCUACAAGAUCAGUACACAGUCAUAUCAGCGAUAUUUGAUUCCACAAGUUCAAUGAUCACCUCCAGUUUGCGUUUCCCUGCAGCACAGGAUACCACUAUUGGUUGCUUUCCUGUGUUACAGGUGGAGUUGAGGGAAGAACUCACUAUAAUGACAGCAAUUUCUACUUCACCACCAACUGGGUUUAUAGUAUCUCCACUUUGAGCAGCUCAGCCAAUGAUGUUAAUGUAUCUGUUGGUUGGGACCCUCCUACUGAGACUGGUGGUAGAGAUGACCUCACCUAUAUACAGUGACCAUCUCACCUCCGGCCCAGCUCUCUGCAACUGUCCUCACAUCCACCUCUGUCACUGUGAUUGCUCAAUACAAUAUGGACUACACUGUCAGUGUUGUGGCUACCAAUUGUGCUGGGAACAGUAUACAAUCGCUGAGUACAACUUCAGAAUUGGAACGUGAUUUGCAUAGCAAUUUUGUGGAUAGUUCCCUAGCUCUCAUGCAGGUGGCUGUCCUGUUCUGAAAGGCCCAUGAAUGGAGCCUUUGGACCAGUCUCCAGCAGAUUGCCAGGAUCAACAAUAACUAUUCAGUGUGACGCUGGGUAUGUAUCUGUUGUUACGAUGGUGACAUGUGAGGGUACACUGAUAUGGAGUCCGAAUCCUGACACUUUUGAGUGUAGAUUACUAAUCACCUCGUCUCCUCCCACACCUCCCCCUCCAAUGAACUGCAAGGCUCCACUAUCCCCACCACAUAAUGGCACCAUCAGUGAUCAUUCGUGCUAGAUCAGUACCAACUCUACCCGGUACACAAGUGACCUUCGAAUUCCAGUGUGACAAUGGACUCUUUCCUGAGGAGAUAAUGAGUGCCACCUGUCUAACUACAGGAGAGUGGGACAAUAAACCAGGGGAGAUCGUCUGCAGAAAUGAAUCUAUUUCCUGUAUCCUGCCUGCCCCCUCCACUCAAUGGAGCAUUACUCAUUAACUUGUAGAACAUUAACUCAAUCGUGGGCUCUGUCCUUACCAUCCAAUGUGAUCCUGAUUUCUUACUGGUGGGUGCAGCGACUUCACUUGUAACAACUCUGGUCUCUGGGAUCCUGACCUGGCUCUAUUGGAGUGUAUAAGUUCAUUGCCUCAAUAAUUAUCUACAUGCAUGCCAUGCCCCUAUAUAUAAUACACAAUACAUGCAGAUAUGGCAAAAACUGGUGGAAACGUUGCUGCUCUAGCUGGAGAUUUUGUCGGUGCUAUAGUGGUAGUACUGAUUGUCUUGGUGCUGAUAGUUCUCUUAUUAACUAUCACCAAACAAACUAAAAGUGAGGGCAACUAACGGGUGCACAAAAUCACACUUAUGUUGUACACUUAUAUAUGUUGUACAUGCAUGAUUUGGUCGCUCAACAGAAAGCGAACUGUCAGGCAAUGAAGUUUCAAUAGCCCCAGCUGGUCCAGUAUAUAUGAGGAAGUUGGUCUAGCAACAGCACAAAGAGUACAAGACAUUCAAGUGGAGUCUAAUGAAGCUUAUGGACAAGUGAGAAAAUGGAAGUAAUAAAGAUUUGCUUGUCCUACCCUAGACGGCAAAGCAAAACAUUGAGUUGAAGUUUAACCAGGCAUGGAGAAAUCAGAUACAUGAGUAGCUAGUGAUGGAACGUAUAUUCGACGACGUUUGUUUAUCAAUAAUUAUGGUGCCAUUGUAUUGUCAACAGCUUUCACUGUUAUUUUUGAAUGUAUCCUUAUGAACACAACAUCUGCAUGGUUCU